rfam:Stegodyphus mimosarum contig28223, whole genome shotgun sequence.
GCCUUCGUGGUGUAAUGGUCAGCACACUCGGCGCGUAUUCGAGAGGCCCGAGGUUCGAAUCCCGGCGAGGACA